CAGAAAACGCGGCCGAAAACCCAAGAAAAUCCCGGCUACAGAAACCAUGGACUUUCAAUUCGCCACCAAUGUGCCCCAAAACGACAACGUUUCCCUCCCCUCCAUCGCCACCACCACCACCGCUGCUACAGAAACCCCUAGCACUGGCGCUAGUCCUUCUCCUGGUCGUGGCCGCGGAAGACCAAGAAAAACUGGAAAACACACGGAAAAAUCGGAACCCAAGUCCCCAGAACGGAGGCUGACGCGCCACGGAGAGCAGAACGGAGAAUUCUAUGUGCCCGCUGCGGAGAUUAGGCAUAAUAAUAUGAUGGGGGUGGUUGCAGCGGCGGAGUGGGAGAGCGUGGUGAAAGUGGUGCCGGCAAUGGAUGCGGUGGUGAAGGUGUUCUGCGUUCACACUGAACCUAAUUUUUCAUUGCCAUGGCAGCGGAAAAGGCAGUAUAGUUCGAGUAGUAGUGGGUUUAUUAUUGGGGGAAGGAGAGUGUUGACAAAUGCGCAUUCGGUCGAGCAUCACACUCAGGUUAAGCUGAAAAAACGAGGGUCUGAUACGAAGUAUCUGGCUACUGUGUUGGCUAUUGGCACCGAGUGCGAUAUUGCAUUAUUGACAGUUAAUGAUGAUGAAUUUUGGGAGGGAGUUACUCCUGUUGAGUUUGGAGAUCUGCCUGCCCUUCAAGAUGCUGUUACUGUUGUGGGUUACCCAAUUGGGGGCGAUACAAUCUCUGUGACAAGUGGUGUUGUCUCACGAAUAGAGAUACUAUCUUAUGCCCAUGGAUCAACUGAACUUUUGGGGUUGCAGAUAGAUGCAGCCAUAAACUCUGGAAAUUCUGGGGGCCCUGCCUUUAAUGAGAAGGGCAAAUGUGUUGGUAUUGCAUUUCAAUCUCUGAAACAUGAAGAUGUGGAGAAUAUUGGCUAUGUUAUACCCACACCAGUUAUAGCACAUUUUAUUUGUGAUUAUGAGAAGCAUGGGGCCUAUACAGGCUUUCCAGUUCUUGGAGUUGAGUGGCAGAAGAUGGAAAAUCCUGAUUUGCGUAUGUCAAUGGGGAUGGGGCCUGAUAUGAAGGGUGUACGCAUUAGAAGAAUUGAACCAACAGCGCCAGAAUCCCAUGUUUUGAGGCCCUCUGAUGUUAUCCUGAGUUUUGACGGGGUUAAAAUUGCUAAUGAUGGAACAAUCCCAUUCAGGCAUGGAGAGCGAAUUAGUUUCAGUUACCUUGUUUCUCAAAAGUACACUGGGGACAAAGCUGUGGUGAAAGUUCUCCGCAAUUCAGAGAUACUUGAAUUCAACAUAAAACUUGCAACUCACAAACGGUUGAUCCCAGCACAUAUCAAGGGCAAACCUCCUUCUUAUUAUAUUAUUGCUGGAUUUGUUUUUACUGCUGUAUCUGUUCCAUAUCUGCGUUCUGAGUAUGGAAAGGACUAUGAAUUUGAUGCUCCAGUCAAACUAUUGGACAAGCAUUUACAUGCAAUGGCACAAUCUGUAGAUGAACAGGUGGUUGUUGUUUCACAGGUUCUUGUGGCUGACAUUAAUAUUGGAUAUGAAGAAAUUGUCAACACUCAGGUUCUGGCUUUCAAUGGCCAGCCUGUGAAGAACCUGAAGAACUUGGCUGACAUGGUGGAGAGCUGUGAUGAUGAAUUUUUGAAGUUUGACCUAGAAUACCAGCAGAUAGUGGUCCUACACACCAAAAAUGCCAACGCAGCAACUUUAGAUAUCCUUGCAACACAUUGUAUACCUUCUGCAAUGUCUCAUGAUCUUAAGACUUGAGAAAAAAAUAAGUCUGUAGGCGGCAAAUAUUCCAAUUUUGAAACACGACAGUACAUGAUAUUCAGUAAUUUCUCGCUUUCAUAUAUCUGCUUUUGUUUGG
rnacentral:misc_RNA from 1 species